GCGGGUUAAACCGGAAAUGGUGGAGCCACAGCGAAAGCGAGUCUUAAUAGGGCGUUUGUCAGUGUUUAUAGACCCGAACCCUGGUGAUCUAACCAUGGCCAGGAUGAAGCUUGGGUGAUACCAAGUGGAGGUCCGAACCGACUGAAGUUGAAAAUUCAGCGGAUGAGCUGUGGUUAGGGGUGAAAUGCCAAUCGAACCAGGAGCUAGCUGGUUCUCCCCGAAAUACGUUGAGGCGUAGCGUCUAGUGCUCCAGCAGGGGGGUAAAGCAACCAUUUCGGUGCGGGCUGCGAAAGCGGUACCAAAUCGAUAUGAACUCUGAAUACCCUGUGUGUAACUAGGCAGUCAGACUGUGGGGGAUAAGCUCCAUAGUCAAGAGGGAAACAGCCCAGACCGCCAGCUAAGGUCCCAAAAUUAACGCUAAGUGAUAAAGGAGGUGGGAUUGCCCAGACAACCAGGAGGUUUGUCUAGAAGCAGCUAUCCUCAAAGGAGUGCGUAAUAGCUCACUGGUCGAGCGAUCCUGCGCCGAAAAUGAACGGGGCUAAGCGUUAUACCGAAGCUGCGGAUAAAUUUAUUUAUGGUAGGGGAGCGUUCUAUGUAGGGUGAAGCGUUAGCGUAAGCGGACGUGGACAGCAUAGAAGUGAGAAUGUCGGCUUGAGUAGCGAAAACAUGGGUGAGAAUCCCAUGCCCCGAAACCCUAAGGGUUCCUCCGGCAGGCUCGUCCGCGGAGGGUUAGUCUGGACCUAAGGCGAGGCCGAAAGGCGUAGUCGAUGGAUAACAGGUCAAUAUUCCUGUACCAGAUGUGUUUUGAGAAGGGGGACGGAGAAGGCUAACCAGGCCAGAUGUUGGUUACUGGUUCAAGCGUUCGAGGCUUUGAGAGAUGGAGAAAACAUCUUGAGCUAAGGCGUGAGUACGAGCUGCUACGGCAGCGAAGUUGGUGAUGUCAUGCUUCCAAGAAAAGCCCUAUACUCGUUAAGACACAAAUGCCAGUACCCGAAACCGACACAGGUGGGGUGGUAGAGAAUACCGAGGGGCGCGAGAUAACUCUCUCUAAGGAACUCGGCAAAAUGGCCCCGUAACUUCGGGAGAAGGGGUGCCAGCGAGAGCUGGUCGCAGUGAAGAGGCGCAAGCGACUGUUUACCAAAAACACAGGUCUCCGCUAAGUCGCAAGACGAUGUAUGGGGGCUGACACCUGCCCAGUGCCGGAAGGUUAAGGAAGCUGGUUAGCUUUUAGUGAAGCUGGCGACUGAAGCCCCGGUGAACGGCGGCCGUAACUAUAACGGUCCUAAGGUAGCGAAAUUCCUUGUCGGGUAAGUUCCGACCCGCACGAAAGGUGUAACG
rnacentral:rRNA from 1 species